ACGGGGUGCAGCAGGCGCGAAACCUCCGCAAUACACGAAAGUGUGACGGGGUUACCCAAAGUGUUCUGUUUAGAACUGUGGUAGGUGAGUAAUGUCCCCUACUAGAAAGGAGAGGGCAAGGCUGGUGCCAGCCGCCGCGGUAAAACCAGCUCUUCAAGUGGUCGGGAUAAUUAUUGGGCUUAAAGUGUCCGUAGCCGGUUUAGUUAGUUCCUGGUAAAAUCGGGUAGCUUAACUAUCCGCAUGCUAGGAAUACUGCUAUACUAGAGGGCGGGAGAGGUCUGAGGUACUACAGGGGUAGGGGUGAAAUCUUAUAAUCCUUGUAGGACCACCAGUGGCGAAGGCGUCAGACUGGAACGCGCCUGACGGUGAGGGACGAAAGCCAGGGGAGCGAACCGGAUUAGAUACCCGGGUAGUCCUGGCCGUAAACGAUGCAUACUAGGUGAUGGUACGGCCAUGAGCCGUGUCAGUGCCGUAGGGAAACCGUUAAGUGUGCCGCCUGGGAAGUACGGUCGCAAGGCUAAAACUUAAAGGAAUUGGCGGGGGAGCACCACAAGGGGUGAAGCCUGCGGUUCAAUUGGACUCAACGCCGGGAAACUUACCAGGGGAGACAGUAGUAUGACGGUCAGGUUGACGACCUUACCUAACGAGCUGAGAGGAGGUGCAUGGCCGUCGCCAGUUCGUGCUGUGAGGUAUCCUGUUAAGUCAGGCAACGAACGAGAUCCGCGCCUUUAUUUGCCAGCAAGAAGUCACGACUUCGUUGGGAACACUAA
rnacentral:rRNA from 1 species